GUGCUCAUUUAAGCAACACAGAUACUAAAAUUGGAAUGAUACAGAGAUCAGCAUGGCCCCUGUUCAAGGAGGACACACAAGUUUGUGAAAUGUCUCAUAUUUAG
rnacentral:snRNA from 1 species